ACUCCUUGGCUGUUAGAUAUGUUUGAUAUUCUUGGUUGUUGAUAAAAUUUCAACCAAGAAUCAGACAUAUGCUGAUAGACUUGGAGA
rnacentral:pre_miRNA from 1 species